CCUACGGGUGGCAGCAGUGAGGAAUAUUGGUCAAUGGACGCGAGUCUGAACCAGCCAAGUAGCGUGAGGGAUUACUGCCCUAUGGGUUGUAAACUUCUUUUAUCUUGGAAUAAAAUGUUCCACGUGUGGGGUUUUGUAUGUACCAUAUGAAUAAGCAUCGGCUAACUCCGUGCCAGCAGCCGCGGUAAUACGGAGGAUGCGAGCGUUAUCCGGAUUUAUUGGGUUUAAAGGGAGCGGAGGGGGAUUGUUAAGUCAGUUGUGAAAGUUUGCGGCUCAACCGUUAAAUUGCAGUUGAAACUGGUAGUCUUGAGUACAGGAGAGGUAGGCGGAAUGCGUGGUGUAGCGGUGAAAUGCUUAGAUAUCACGAAGAACUCCGAUUGCGAAGGCAGUUCACUG
rnacentral:rRNA from 1 species